rnacentral:rRNA from 2 species
UAUUAAAGUUGUUGCGGUUAAAAAGCUCGUAGUCGAAUUUGUGUCCCGCGCCGCCGGUUCAUCGUACGCGGUGUUAACUGGCGUGCCGCGGGACGUCCUGCCGGUGGGCCUAAGUCCGCAAGGGCGUCGGCCCGACCCAAUCCCGCCGCGGUGCUCUUCACUGAGUGUCGAGGUGGGCCGGCACGUUUACUUUGAACAAAUUAGAGUGCUUAAAGCAGGCUAAAACUUCGCCUGAAUACUGUGUGCAUGGAAUAAUGGAAUAGGACCUCGGUUCUAUUUUGUUGGUUUUCGGAACCCCGAGGUAAUGAUUAAUAGGAACGGAUGGGGGCAUUCGUAUUGCGACGUUAGAGGUGAAAUUCUUGGAUCGUCGCAAGACGGACAGAAGCGAAAGCAUU